AACGAACGCUGGCGGCAUGCCUAACACAUGCAAGUCGAACGAGACCUUCGGGUCUAGUGGCGCACGGGUGCGUAACGCGUGGGAACCUGCCCUUAGGUUCGGAAUAACUCCCCGAAAGGGGUGCUAAUACCGGAUAAUGUCUUCGGACCAAAGAUUUAUCGCCUUUGGAUGGGCCCGCGUUGGAUUAGCUAGUUGGUAGGGUAAAAGCCUACCAAGGCGACGAUCCAUAGCUGGUCUGAGAGGAUGAUCAGCCACACUGGGACUGAGACACGGCCCAGACUCGUACGGGAGGCAGCAGUGGGGAAUAUUGGACGAUGGGCGAAAGCCUGAUCCAGCAAUGCCGCGUGAGUGAUGAAGGCCUUAGGGUUGUAAAGCUCUUUUACCCGGGAUGAUAAUGACAGUACCGGGAGAAUAGGCUCCGGCUAACUCCGUG
rnacentral:rRNA from 1 species